AUCUCUGUAGCGCAAUUGAUACCGCGUUAGACUUCUAAUUUAAAGGUUGUGGAUUCAAAUCCCACCUGGGUUG